rnacentral:rRNA from 1 species
UACAGAGGUCCCAAGCGUUGCUCGGAUUCACUGGGCGUAAAGGGUGCGUAGGUGGUCAGGUAAGUCGGAUGUGAAAUCUCCGAGCUCAACUCGGAAACUGCAUUGGAAACUACCUGGCUCGAGGGUUGGAGGGGGGACUGGAAUGCUUGGUGUAGCAGUGAAAUGCGUAGAUAUCAAGCGGAACACCAGUGGCGAAGGCGAGUCCCUGGACAACUCCUGACACUGAUGCACGAAAGCUAGGGGAGCAAACAGG